AUUGAACGCUGGCGGCAAGCCUAACGCAUGCAAGUCGAACGCGUGGCGGACGGGUGAGUAAUGUCUGGGAAACUGCCUGAUGGAGGGGGAUAACUACUGGAAACGGUAGCUAAUACCGCAUACCAUCGGAUGUGCCCAGAUGGGAUUAGCUAGUAGGUGGGGUAAAGGCUCACCUAGGCGACGAUCCCUAGCUGGUCUGAGAGGAUGACCAGCCACACUGGAACUGGAACACGGUCAGGACUCCUACGGGAGGCAGCAGGGGGGAAUAGUGCACAAUGGGCGCAAGCCUGAGGCAGCCAUGCCGCGGGUAUGAAGAAGGCCUUCGGGUUGUAAAGUACUUUCAGCGGGGAGGCGUUACCCGCAGAAGAAGCACCGACUAACUCCGUGCCAGCAGCCGCGGUAAUUC
rnacentral:rRNA from 1 species